rnacentral:rRNA from 1 species
GAUGAACGCUAGCGGCAGGCCUAACACAUGCAAGUCGAGGGAUAGGCCUUGGGCCGGAACCGGGGGCACGGGGGGUUAAGGGGUUAAAAAUCGGCCUUUACCAUAGGAUAGGCCGGAGGAAAUUGGGAUUAAUACCUAAGGGUAAAUAAGAUGGGCAUCAUUUUUAUUUUAAGGCUUGGUGGGUGAAGGAGGAGUAUGCGUUCUAUUAGCUAGUUGGAGAGGUAACGGCUCCCCAAGGCGACGAUAGAUAGGGGUUCUGAGAGGGAUGUCCCCCACACUGGUACUGAGAUACGGACCAGACUCCUACGGGAGGCAGCAGUGAGGAAUAUUGGACAAUGGUCGGAAGACUGAUCCAGCCAUGCCGCGUGCAGGACGACGGUCCUAUGGAUUGUAAACUGCUUUUGUAAGGGAAGAAUAAGGAGUACGUGUACUUUGAUGACGGUACCUUACGAAUAAGCAUCGGCUAACUCCGUG